rnacentral:rRNA from 1 species
GGGAGUUAAAAGAAGUGAAAAUGCUGACAUGAGAAACGACAAGGCGGGUAAAAACCCCGCACGCCGGAAGACCAAGGGUUCCUGCGCAACGCUAAUCGGCGCAGGGUGAGUCGGCCCCUAAGGCGAGACCGAAAGGUGUAGUCGAUGGGAAACGGGUUAAUAUUCCCGUACCUUGGAUAGCUGCGAUGGAGAGACGGAGAAGGCUAGGUGAGCCGGGCGACGGUUGUCCCGGUUUAAGCGAGUAGGGAGUGGACUUAGGCAAAUCCGGGUCCACAAUCCCGAGACGUGACGACGACUGCUCAUAGAGCGGGAAGUCAUUGAUGCCAUGCUUCCAGGAAAAUCUUCUAAGCUUCAGGCUAUUCGAGACCGUACCCCAAACCGACACAGGUGGUCAGGUAGAGAAUACCAAGGCGCUUGAGAGAACUCGGGUAAAGGAACUAGGCAAAAUGGUGCCGUAACUUCGGGAGAAGGCACGCUGGCAGUAAGUGAAGCCCCUGCGGGUGGAGCUGAGACCAGUCGAAGAUACCAGGCCCCUGCGACUGUUUAUUAAAAACACAGCACUGUGCAAACACGAAAGUGGACGUAUACGGUGUGACGCCUGCCCGGUGCCGGAAGGUUAAUUGAUGGGGUUAGCGCUUGCGCGAAGCUCUUGAUCGAAGCCCCGGUAAACGGCGGCCGUAACAAUAACGGUCCUAAGGUAGCGAAAUUCCUUGUCGGGUAAGUUCCGACCUGCACGAAUGGUGUAACCAUGGCCACGCUGUCUCCACCCGAGACUCAGUGAAAUUGAAAUCGCCGUGAAGAUGCGGUGUAUCCGCGGCUAGACGGAAAGACCCCGUGAACCUUUACUAUAGCUUCACAGUGAACUUUGAGCAUGUUUGUGUAGGAUAGCUGGGAGGCUUUGAAGUGGGAACGCCAGUUCUCAUGGAGCCAACCUUGAAAUACCAGCCUGACAUGUUUGAGGUUCUAACUUGGUCCCCUUAUCGGGGAUGAGGACACUGUGUGGUGGGUAGUUUGACUGGGGCGGUCUCCUCCCAAAGUGUAACGGAGGAGCACGAAGGUGCGCUAAUCACGGUCGGAAAUCGUGAGGUUAGUGUAAUGGCACAAGCGCGCUUAACUGCGAGACUGACAAGUCGAGCAGAGACGAAAGUCGGUCAUAGUGAUCCGGUGGUCCCGAGUGGAAGGGCCAUCGCUCAACGGAUAAAAGGUACGCCGGGGAUAACAGGCUAAUGACUCCCAAGAGCUCCUAUCGACGGAGUUGUUUGGCACCUCGAUGUCGGCUCAUCACAUCCUGGAGCUGCAGAAGGUUCCAAGGGUUCGGCUGUUCGCCGAUGAAAGUGGUACGUGAGCUGGGUUUAGAACGUCGUGAGACAGUUCGGUCCCUAUCUACUGUUGGUGUAAAAGAAUUGAAAGGAACUACUCUUUGUACGAGAGGACCAGAGUAGAUUGACCAAUGGUGUAUCGGUUGUCAUGCCAAUGGCAUCGCCGAGUAGCUAAGUCAGUACAGUAUAACUGCUGAAAGCAUAUAAGUAGGAAGACAACCUUAAAACUAAUUCUUUAAUUGAGUCGUGCAAGACUAGCACGUUGAUAGGCUAGAAGUAAAAGCAUGGUAACAUGUUUAAC